AUGCCUGUCCUGUCUCUAACAGCUGCCUAUCUGUCUCCUAUCGAUCUAUGUAUCCUGUCACCUAGUUCUGUCUUUGUCUCUAUCAUCUUCUUCUCUGUCUCCUAUCCAUCCAUCCUUUUAGCUAACCGUCUCUCUUUCCAUUCUUUUCUGUCAUCUCUCUACCCUUCCAUCUGUCCAUCUGGCUAUCUGACCAUCCGUAGCUCUCUAUCCAUUCAUAUCUCUGAUUCUUUCUUCUCUCUUUCUCCCCCUCCCUCUCUUCUCUCUCUGUGUCCUCUAUCUCUGUCUUCUCUCUGUCCUAUCUCCUCUCUCUCUCCCUCUCCUCUCUUUCUGUCUCUCUCACUUCCUCUCCCCUCUCUCUUCCUCCCUCUGCCUCCCUCUCCUCUCUCUCCCUCUCCUCUCUUUCUGUCUUUCUCUCCCUUUCUCCUCUCUCUCUCUCCUCUGUCUCUCUAUUUCUCUUCUUCUCUCUUCCUCCCUCUUCCUCCCUCUGCCUCCCUUUCCUGUCUCUCUCUUCUCUCUUCCUCUCCUCUCUUUCUGUCUCUCUCUCCCUCUCUCUCUUUCUUUCUCUUCUCUCUCUCUCUCUUCCUCCUCUCCUCUCCUCUCUCUCCUGUCUCUCUCUCUGUCUCUCUCUCCUCUGUCUCUCUCUCUCUCUUUUUCUCUUGCUCUCUCUUCCUCCCCCUGCCUCCCUCUCCUCUCUCUCUCUCUCUUCCUCUCUCCUCUCUCUUCCUUCCUCUCCCUCUCCUCUCUCUCUCUUCUCUCUCUCCCUCUCCUCUCUUUCUGUCCUCUCUCCCUCUCUCUCCUCUGGCUCUCUCUCUCUCUUUCUCUUCCUCUCUCCUCUCUCUUCCUUCCUCUCCCUCUCCUCUCUCUCCUGUCUCUCUCUCUCUGUCCUGUCUCUCUCUCUUUUCUCUUCCUCUCUUCUCUCUCCCCCUUUCUCUUCUCUCUUUCCUCUCUCUCCUCCCCCUCCUAUCUCUCUCUUCUCUCUGUCUCUCCUCUGUCUCUCUCUGUCUUUCUCUUCUCGUUUCUCCUCCCCCUCCUACCUCUCUCUUCUCUCUCUCCCUCUCCUCUCUUUCUGUCCCUCUCUCCCUCUCUCUCCUCUGCCUCUCUCUCUCUUUCUUUUCCUCUCUCCUCUCUCUUCCUUCCUGUCCCUCUCCUCUCUCUCCUGUCUCUCUUUCUCUGUUUCUCUCCUCUGUCUCUGUCUCUGUCUCUCUUUCUCUCUCCUCCCCGCCCCCAGCCCUGCCGCCUUCCCCGUCUCCUCUCUGCCCUCCCCCUUUUGGCCUGAGCCUAUGA
rnacentral:lncRNA from 1 species